AAGCUUGCUUCUUGAUUCAGAUUUUGGUGAGUGGCGGACGGGUGAGUAACACGUGGGUAACCUGCCCAAAAGUGGGGGAUAACAUUUGGAAACAAGUGCUAAUACCGCAUAACAACUGCUUUCACAUGAUCGCAGCUUGAAAGAUGGCUCUGCUAUCGCUUUUGGAUGGACCCGCGGCGUAUUAGCUAGUUGGUGAGGUAAUAGCUCACCAAGGCAAUGAUACGUAGCCGACCUGAGAGGGUAAUCGGCCACAUUGGGACUGAGACACGGCCCAAACUCCUACGGGAGGCAGCAGUAGGGAAUCUUCCACAAUGGGCGAAAGCCUGAUGGAGCAAUGCCGCGUGAGUGAAGAAGGUUUUCGGAUCGUAAAACUCUGUUGUUGAAGAAGAACAUGCGUGAGAGUAACUGUUCACGUACUGACGGUAUUCAACCAGAAAGCCACGGCUAACUACGUGCCAGCAGCCGCGGUAAUACGUAGGUGGCAAGCGUUGUCCGGAUUUAUUGGGCGUAAAGAGAAUGUAGGCGGUUUA
rnacentral:rRNA from 1 species